GGGAAAGAUUAAACCCUAGUACCCAACCUUUGAGAAAUUAGAGCUUCUUCUUUUCAUCUUGCUGUGACGGUUUUUCUGAUUUUUAUCCCCCAAAAUGGGAAUUAAGGGUUUAACGAAGCUAUUGGCGGACAAUGCGCCAAGGGGAAUGAAAGAGCAGAAAUUUGAGAGCUAUUUUGGCCGUAAAAUAGCCAUCGACGCUAGUAUGAGCAUUUACCAGUUCCUGAUUGUGGUAGGACGAAGCGGUACGGAAAUGCUCACGAAUGAAGCUGGGGAAACUACUAGUCAUUUGGUUGGGAUGUUUUCCCGGACAAUUAGGCUUUUGGAAGCUGGAAUCAAGCCAGUUUAUGUUUUUGAUGGGAAACCCCCAGAUCUGAAGAAACAAGAACUUGCAAAACGUUACUCUAGAAGGGAAGAUGCCACAGAUGAUUUGGCUAAGGCUACAGAGAUUGGCAACAAGGAGGAUAUUGAGAAAUUCAGCAAGAGAACCGUAAAGGUUACACCCCAACACAAUGAUGACUGCAAGAAACUUCUUAGACUGAUGGGUGUACCUGUUGUUGAGGCUCCUUCUGAAGCAGAGGCUCAGUGUGCUGCACUUUGCAAGGCCGAAAAGGUCUAUGCUGUAGCCUCAGAAGAUAUGGAUUCCUUAACUUUUGGAGCUUCAAGGUUUCUUCGCCAUUUAAUGGAUCCUAGCUCCAAAAAGAUUCCAGUGAUGGAAUUUGAUAUCUCCCAGAUAUUAGAGGAGCUCGAACUUAGUAUGGAUCAGUUCAUUGACUUGUGCAUUCUCUGUGGAUGUGAUUACUGUGAUAGCAUCCGAGGCAUAGGGCCCCAGACUGCUUUGAAGCUUGUACGCCAACAUGGGUCAAUGGAGAGCAUAUUGGAGAAUAUUAACAAAGAGAGAUAUCAAAUACCUGAUGAUUGGCCAUAUGAAGAGGCUAGACGGCUCUUCAAGGAACCAUUAGUUACAGAUGAUGAGCAAACUGAACUAAAAUGGGCUGCUCCUGAUGAAGAAGGAUUGAUUAACUUUCUGGUGAAGGAAAAUGGAUUCAACAUUGAUAGAGUUACAAAGGCAGUAGAAAAGAUCAAGACAGCCAAGACCAAGUCUUCUCAGGGACGGCUAGAAUCAUUCUUUAAACCAGUUAGCACAUCUGCUCCAGUUAAAAGAAAGGAAACAGCUGAGACUACUGAGAAAGGAGCUGCUAACAAGAAAUCAAAGGCUGGUGGUGGUAAGAAGAAGAAGUAGUUAGCAUCAAGUUAAAGCUUGCAGUAAAGUGAUGGUUUCUUACCUUGUCAGAAUCAGUGGCGGAGGCAGGAUUACCACCAAAGGGGUUCAAAAAAAAGGAAAAAAGUUCAAAAGGUCAUGGCUGGUGGGAAUAGAACCGAGGACCUUACAAAGGUUUUGAAUCCCCUUGACUACUAAGCUAUGCUUUUGGGUUGUGUCAAGGGGAUUCAAAACAUAAUAUAUAAAGGUAAAAAACAGAUUUUGCCUUACAUAUACAGUGUAAUAUUUCGGCGAAGGGGGUUCGGGUGAACAUCCUUCCGCCACCCUAAAUCCGCCCCUGCGCAGAAUCCGUUAACUACAGGAACCAAAAACCAUUGCAGAAAGAUGUGGGAGUCGAUGAAUAGUAUAGCCCCGACUUGAAAAGAUUGCCCUUGGAGAUACUAUCACAUUGCCCGUAACAAAACACCAACUUAAAUAGCAAAAAUCUUAAAUUCUUUUUCCA